GAACUCGUAUCUACUACAAAAUACUUCGAAAUUUGGUACCCAAUUCUUCGAAAAAAAAAAUUAUUUUUUCAAAUGACCUUUUCCUUACCUAAGUAUUGAUAUUAUGUAAACAAGUAAAUAGAAUGAUACUUCAAUCGCAAUUUUACAGUGGAAAGAAAACAGCGUUUGUUUCGGUGAAUUUUUACACGAAAUAUUACAUUAGGUAGGAAAAGCCAAAAGGUAUAGGCUAAAAUGAGAUAUUCAAUUCUUUCUCUAUUGAUUAUUGGGAUAAUAUUCUCAAUCAACUUCCUACCUCAAGUUUCUUCGCAAUAUUCGAGCAAUCCUGUGAUAUUUGCGAUCAAAAUAAUAGCGACGUUUUCUGUGUACAUAAAUUGGAUUUUGGCUAGUUUUUUCCCGAAUAGUCCUGAAGUACAAGGCUUCUUUGACGAUUUAGCUUUUUUCAACGCUGAAAUAACUAACAUUCCAGAUCGGGGAGAUGUGCAGUAAAUACAACGAUACAUUUUUAUGGAUUUUCAUUUAUUGAAGUCGACAGAUAAUAUUUAAAUAAAUCACUUCCACGUUAAGAAAAAAAAUCGAUUAAUUAUUUUUCACAUCGGGUAAUUCUGAGGACUUGGCUUGUUUUGCGCGUUAGACGACUCUGCAACUUGAACCGCAUAAAUGUAGGUAGGUUUGUCUAGUAUAAAGUUACAGGAGCAGACAAAACAUUGAUUGAAAUUAUCGCGACAAUCGAUCAAAAUAUCGUAAAAGGAACCAGAAUUUUUAUAAGUUGCAAAAAUUAUUUGAUAAAAUUCGUCAAAAAAACACAAAUAAAUUAAGUAUUGGAAAAAUGUCAUAAAAAUUGCCCAAAAUUACUUAGAAAAGAAAUUGGUACUUAAAAUAUCAUAAAGAUGAUUUAAUUCGAAAAAAAAGUAUAGUAAAAAUUGGUCAAUAAAAAACCACAAUGAAAUCAUCAGGGAUAUCACAGAGCUUUAAAUAUUAUCUUUCUGGUUCAUUUUUUUUUUUUUUUUUUUUUGAAAUUUCAAAUCAGUUCACUUCACAUAAAUUCGUAGAAUAACUGUCAGUGAGUAAGUCGAUAAUAUAGAGUGGGUACUUCUAUUCCUACCUACAUUUAUCAGUUCCUUGAGACUUAUCUACCUUAAACUAUACAAAACACCACCAUUUUAUGUACCUUACCUACUAAGUGUGUUCAUUCAAUAAUAUGCAUGUAAAUACGAAUAAGUACCACGUUUAUUUUCCCAAAUUCGAGGAAAACUUAUCGAAAUGCAACAUUCGACUAUUUUCUUGUUAAUUUUUUGUACGAUUAUACCAGUAACGUUUCCAUAUCCGGUUUAUUUCUCAUCGUAUGACCCAAUUUUACAAUUUUAUCAAGAGUUUGUUAACAAAGGCGUAUUUUUCUUCGGGUUAAUGGGUCAAAUAGCUCAAAAUUUUCCACCAUUUUCUUAUUUUUUCAACACGAUUGCUUAUUGGCUUUAUCUGAUCGCACAAAUUGAUGGAGCACCUCAAUCAUAGCAGAUUUUCAAAAUAAUUUAUUAAUCUUAUUAUUAAGCAAAUAUAAAUAUUGAAAUUUGCUCCAUUUCUUUUUUACCAACCACCUCAAUAGAACUACUUUGUACUAAGUAAAUAGGUACUGAUUUUGCUAUUGUAAAAUUCAUUUUGUUCUUCAUUUUUUAAUGUCCAAAAAGCUUGUUCAAAUUUUUCGAAAUAUUACGUAGUAUUCACCUUCUCUAACAUCUAUGAACGUUAUUUCGACGUAGGUUUUUCUAGGAAAAUUAUCCCUUUCAUAUAGGUACCUACUUACUUAUUAGAUUAGAUAAACCUCAAUUUUCGACACUUCAUGCAAUCAACGUAGAAAUAAUUUCACCGUAAAACAGAAAAAGUUUUCAAAUUAGUGAAAAAGGGUACAUUGUCUGUGAACCAAAAUGCUUCGCUAUACAAUUUUCAUUCUCAUUUUGAGCGUUAUUCUAUACAUAGGAUUUUUACCAGGAGUUGAUUCGAAAAUCGAUUUUUAUGCCAAUUAUUUGGCAUUUAAUGUUUACCUUUUCUGGAUCUUGGCACAAAGGACGCAAGGUAUUCCACCAUUGUCGAAAAUUUUCUAUGCAAUAACUGAUAAGUUUCUCAACGCACUAGGACAACAUUUUAAGAAUCAAGGUUUUCAAGGAGGAUCUGAAUUGAAAAAAAUAAAUACUUACAUUAAUAAGUUCAGAAUAUCUAAAUAGUGGUAUUGAAAUAAUUUAUAAAAUAUACGUAUUAAAUAGAUAAAAACAUCUU